UCCUGGUUAACCCAGGCAGUCUCACUAGAGUUCCCACCUUAAAUGUUGGCAACUAAUGAUAAGGGUUGCGCUCGUUGCUGGACUUAACCAAACACCUCACGGCACGAGCUGACGACAGCCAUGCAGCACCUGUGCAGAUGUCCCGAAGGAACUCGCUAUUUCUAGCGCAUUCAUCUGCAUGUCAAACCUGGGUAAGGUUCUUCGCGUUGCAUCGAAUUAAACCACAUGCUCCACUGCUUGUGCGGGUCCCCGUCAAUUCUUUUGAGUUUCAGCCUUGCGACUGUACUCCCCAGGCGGUAUACUUAACGCGUUAGCUACGGCACAACUAGGGUUGAGUCCAGUUACACCAAGUAUACAUAGUUUACGGCAAGGACUAC
rnacentral:misc_RNA from 1 species